rnacentral:rRNA from 1 species
UAGCAUAAUCAUUAGUUUUUUAAUUGAAGACUGGAAUGAAAGGUUUAAUAAAAAAUAAGCUUUAUUAAUUUUAAUAAAUUUUGAAUUUAUUUUUUUAGUAAAAAAACUAAAAUAAUUUAAAAAGACGAUAAGACCCUAUAAAGCUUAAUAAUUAAAAAAAAAUAUUUAUUUAGAAAUUUUUAUUUAUUAUUUUUUUCAUUAUUUAAUUGGGGUGAUUUUAAGAUUUAAAAAACUCUUUAUUUAUUUUUAACAAAUUUUAUUGUAUUAAAAAUUAAAAAUUAAUUUUUUUUUAUUAAUUUUGAUCCUAAAAAUAGAUUAAAAAAUUAAGUUACUUUAGGGAUAACAGCGUAAUUUUUUUAAAGAGUUCAAAUCGAUAAAAAAGAUUGCGACCUCGAUGUUGAAUUAAGAUAAAUUUUAGGUGUAGAAGUUUAAUAUUU